rnacentral:rRNA from 1 species
UACGUAGGUGGCGAGCGUUGUCCGGAUUUACUGGGUGUAAAGGGCGUGUAGCCGGGCGGGCAAGUCAGAUGUGAAAUCCAUGGGCUCAACCCAUGAACUGCAUUUGAAACUGCUUGUCUUGAGUACUGGAGAGGCAGACGGAAUUCCUAGUGUAGCGGUGAAAUGCGUAGAUAUUAGGAGGAACACCAGUGGCGAAGGCGGUCUGCUGGACAGCAACUGACGGUGAGGCGCGAAAGCGUGGGGAGCAA